rnacentral:rRNA from 1 species
GAAUUCGCCCUUAGAGUUUGAUCCUGGCUCAGGACGAACGCUGGCGGCGCGCCUAACACAUGCAAGUCGAACGAGCGAGAGAGAGCUUGCUUUCUCAAACGAGUGGCGAACGGGUGAGUAACGCGUGAGGAACCUGCCUCAAAGAGGGGGACAACAGUUGGAAACGACUGCUAAUACCGCAUAAGCCCACGACCCGGCAUCGGGUAGAGGGAAAAGGAGCAAUCCGCUUUGAGAUGGCCUCGCGUCCGAUUAGCUAGUUGGUGAGGUAAUGGCCCACCAAGGCGACGAUCGGUAGCCGGACUGAGAGGUUGAACGGCCACAUUGGGACUGAGACACGGCCCAGACUCCUACGGGAGGCAGCAGUGGGGAAUAUUGCACAAUGGGGGAAACCCUGAUGCAGCGACGCCGCGUGGAGGAAGAAGGUCUUCGGAUUGUAAACUCCUGUUGUUGAGGAAGAUAAUGACGGUACUCAACAAGGAAGUGACGGCUAACUACGUGCCAGCAGCCGCGGUAAAACGUAGGUCACAAGCGUUGUCCGGAAUUACUGGGUGUAAAGGGAGCGCAGGCGGGAAGACAAGUUGGAAGUGAAAUCCAUGGGCUCAACCCAUGAACUGCUUUCAAAACUGUUUUUCUUGAGUAGUGCAGAGGUAGGCGGAAUUCCCGGUGUAGCGGUGGAAUGCGUAGAUAUCGGGAGGAACACCAGUGGCGAAGGCGGCCUACUGGGGCACCAACUGACGCUGAGGCUCGAAAGUGUGGGUAGCAAACAGGAUUAGAUACCCUGGUAGUCCACACUGUAAACGAUGAUUACUAGGUGUUGGAGGAUUGACCCCUUCAGUGCCGCAGUUAACACAAUAAGUAAUCCACCUGGGGAGUACGACCGCAAGGUUGAAACUCAAAGGAAUUGACGGGGGCCCGCACAAGCAGUGGAGUAUGUGGUUUAAUUCGACGCAACGCGAAGAACCUUACCAAGUCUUGACAUCCUGCGACGGACAUAGAAAUAUGUUUUUCCUUCGGGACGCAGAGACAGGUGGUGCAUGGUUGUCGUCAGCUCGUGUCGUGAGAUGUUGGGUUAAGUCCCGCAACGAGCGCAACCCUUAUGGUCAGUUACUACGCAAGAGGACUCUGGCCAGACUGCCGUUGACAAAACGGAGGAAGGUGGGGAUGACGUCAAAUCAUCAUGCCCUUUAUGACUUGGGCUACACACGUACUACAAUGGCGUUAAACAAAGAGAAGCAAGACCGCGAGGUGGAGCAAAACUCAGAAACAACGUCCCAGUUCGGACUGCAGGCUGCAACUCGCCUGCACGAAGUCGGAAUUGCUAGUAAUCGCAGAUCAGCAUGCUGCGGUGAAUACGUUCCCGGGCCUUGUACACACCGCCCGUCA